rnacentral:rRNA from 1 species
GAUGAACGCUAGCGGCAGGCCUAAUACAUGCAAGUCGAACGGUGUCUUCGGACAUAGUGGCGCACGGGUGCGUAACACGUAUGCAACCUACCUUACAUUGGGGGAUAGCCUUUCGAAAGGGAGAUUAAUACCGCAUAAGACAGUAGCUGGGCAUCCAGCAGCUGUUAAAGAUUUAUCGAUGUAAGCUGGGCAUGCGUCCAAUUAGCUAGUUGGUGAGGUAACGGCCCACCAAGGCAAUGAUUGGUAGGGGAACUGAGAGGUCAAUCCCCCACCCUGGCACUGAGAUACGGGCCAGACUCCUACGGGAGGCAGCAGUAGGGAAUAUUGGGCAAUGGACGCAAGUCUGACCCAGCCAUGCCGCGUGCAGGAUGAAGGCGUUAUGCGUUGUAAGCUGCUUUUAUACAGGAAGAAACGACUCUUGCGAGAGGCAUUGACGGUACUGUAUGAAUAAGCACCGGCUAACUCCGUGCCAGCCGCCGCCGUAAUAC